rnacentral:rRNA from 1 species
UGCCAGACUCCUACGGGAGGCAGCAGUGGGGAAUAUUGGGCAAUGGGCGCAAGCCUGACCCAGCAACGCCGCGUGAAGGAAGAAGGCUUUCGGGUUGUAAACUUCUUUUCUCAGGGACGAAGCAAGUGACGGUACCUGAGGAAUAAGCCACGGCUAACUACGUGCCAGCAGCCGCGGUAAUACGUAGGUGGCAAGCGUUAUCCGGAUUUACUGGGUGUAAAGGGCGUGUAGGCGGGGACGCAAGUCAGAUGUGAAAACCAUGGGCUCAACCUGUGGCCUGCAUUUGAAACUGUUGGUCUUGAGUAUCGGAGAGGCAGGCGGAAUUCCUAGUGUAGCGGUGAAAUGCGUAGAUAUUAGGAGGAACACCAGUGGCGAAGGCGGCCUGCUGGACGACAACUGACGGUGAGGCGCGAAAGCGUGGGGAGCAAACAGGAUUAGAUACCCGAGUAAC